rnacentral:rRNA from 1 species
AUGGCACUUUUCGAGGAGUUCUACGUAGGCUCCAUCGACUUGGCCCGGCUCUACUACGGGAUCAUCACCCUCAUCCCUAAGGCGUCGGGCGCAUCGGACAUCCACCAUAUCUUUCCGAUCACGGUGAUCAAUGUGAUCUUCCGCAUUCUAGCAAAGGGGUACGCCAAUAGGGUGACCUCGCUCGACGACCACAUCACCCACCCCAAUCAGUCGACCUUUAUUCAAGGCCGAAAUAUUAUGGAUGGGAUCCUGGUGUUCCACGAAGUCCUUCAUGAGGUCUGCACCAAGCAGAUGAAGGUGGUCUUCUUGAAGAUUGACUUCCAUAAAGCCUACAACACUGUUCACUGGCCCUUCCUUCGGGAAGUUUUGAUUCGUAAGGGAUUUGAUGACCGUUGGGUCACCUGGGGUCAUGAAGAUGGUUUCUUUUGGACAUACCCGGUGAACAUUAAUGGGGAGAUCGACCAAUUCUUCCCCAUCAACUGUGGGGUUAGACAGGGCGACCCAUUCUCCCCCUUUCUGUUCAAUAUAGUUGUCGACGCCCUUGCGUCCAUUCUAGACAAGGCCAAAGUUGUGGCCCACAUCUGUGGGGUUGUUCCGCAUCUUGUGGGAGGUGGAGGGGUCUCCCUCCUUUGGUAUGUCGACGACAACAUAAUCAUGGUCGAAGGUUCUGCGACCAACAUUGCUCAUGUGAAAUUCUAG